rnacentral:rRNA from 1 species
CCUACGGGAGGCAGCAGUGGGGAAUAUUGCACAAUGGGCGCAAGCCUGAUGCAGCCAUGCCGCGUGUAUGAAGAAGGCCUUCGGUGUUGUAAAGUACUUUCAGCGGGGGAGGAAGGGUAUAAGGUUAAUAACC